GCGCGCGCCAGGGGCGCAGUCCCCAGACCCAAUCUCCCGGGAGACCGUGUGUUUGUGCGCGCACUUUCCUAAACAGACUGAAAGUGCCAUGAGGGCAGGGUCCAUGCCAGUGUUGUAUUCCCAGCAUUAGCACGAUGUCCGGCAUAAAUACGCAGGAAGUAUUUGUUGAACGAAUGACAGCCUCACUUUGGCCUGCUUUUUUCCCUGCGCUCAGAAGAAGGUAAAUCUAUUGAUGAACACCCCAUCUUCCUGGUAAAUGGUAGAGCUGAGGUUGCAGAGAUCAUAAAAUGGACUUGCUAAGUGACCCACGCAAGUAUCGAGCAUUAUGGCUGAAGAAGUGACUGUUGUCUACUCUUACUUUCAUUGCCCUUUCCUAACACGAACUCUGUAUUUAAUAUAUACUUCAGGAUAGACUACCUAUAGUUACUAUUUAAUGAGUGCUUAUCAUGUGCCAACUUAUGCAAAGCAGUUUGUAUGGUUGGUUUCAUUUAAUUCUCACAAAAUUCUACGAGGUAGGUGCUAUCACUGUUAUUCCUGUUUUACAGUGACAAAUUAAGGAGGGUCGGUUUAUUUGCCUCCACACAGCUGCUAAGUGGUAAAGCAGGGAUUUGAAACCUUGCAGUCUAUCUUCAUGUCCUGUGCUGUUACUACCUCCUACAUUACCAAUAAACCACUGUUAAUUUUGAAAUCUAUUUAAAAUUAGUUACCAUAAUUUCA